CUCCGGAGACCACGGGAUGAUUGGAACACAUCAACAUUCAUACACAGUCACAGAAACAAAACACACACAAAGUGACACAAGGACACGAGCUGACUGAAGAGAGGGGAAAAACAAGCCUCUCGACGACAAGCUCCUUCCUUAGGUCAUAUGAUGACAACAGAGCCAUUUCCAUGACAACUGAGCUCCAUUCACUGAGGAAGAUGAGAUGUGGUCAAAAGCCAUGUACAGAAGUAAUAAAUGGACCUUGAGUUAAGUAUUAAUUCACAACAUUACACACAGUAUGAACAACAUUCACAGCUGUAGCACCUUUAACAUGACAAACUGUGCUAAUUUUUUUUUUUCCCAGGCUUACAGUGGCUAUCCUCCCUACUUUCUUUGUCUCUGGGAAGUCUGAAACAGGAAGUGCCAAACAAGAACAGGAAGAGGAAAUUGGAUCACAGAAGCCCCGGGCACGUGCAGCCGAGUCGCUGCUGCUCGGUGGCUUGUCAGUUUAAGUCUGUCCUCUGAGGCCGGCUUGACACAGAGAGAGACUGAGAUCAGAGGAACACAAAUGAAGAUGGGGCUGGAGGUUCGAGCCAGAGCGAGACAACGAAUGAGAUGCCAGCGUGCUUAUUCACGAUUCACUCACAGAGAAUUUGGGAGGAACAAACUGGAAGCCUGACUCUGAAGACAUGAUUUACAACUUUUUUGCCUUGAGGCAGCAAAUUAGUGUGAUACGAAUUCCAUCGUCCUUUCUGUUGUUUGGACAGGUUCAUGUCCCGUGAAUGUUUGUCUCAUCUUUAUGAGCUGAAAGAUGAACUCUAACAGACUAACUAUUUAGCAUUUUAGCCACAAAAUUGCUAUAUCCAAAAAUAUACUUAACAUCACUGAAAAGCUGAUAAACUAUAUCUAAAUGGAGAUUAAACUAGUAGCCCCUUUACACUUGAUAACAGAAUGUUAGUAGAACUCAAUGAGAGCACAAUUAGCAUGAAGAAACAUUGCAUGUAUGUAUGUAUGUUAGUUUUUAUCAUAUUUAGUCAACCUCAUCCUGUUUUUUGUAAGUCAAGUUUUUUUUUUGACUAAAAGUCUGGGCAUUUUAGUCUCAUCUUAGUCAAAGAAGACUGAAACUAAUUUAGUAUCAGUCAAUGAAAACAUGACAUUUUAGUCUUUUUUUAGCCAGAUUCUAUUGAACUCGUCAUUAUCUGAUGAAAAACACAGGUUGAAUAAUUACGAAUGCAGCAUUGCAGAAAGUGUCUGGUCUGAUGGUAUCAAUUUAAGGAAUACAUCCAAACAUGGAACAUAUUCUGAUUUGCAUAUUUAUUUUCAACCAACACAACUGGGGCCCUACACGCUCUUUAAAACUAUUAUAAAACAAUGAGAGCUGUACAAACAAUAAAACAUUUGAAACCAAUUUUUUGGUUGCCCAAAGUACAAAAUUAGCUUUCUGUUCUAAACAAUGGAAAUAAAAGUAGUUAGCAUAAUAAAAUUGGAAAGAAUACUGUAAAAACACCAAUUGCAAUCUGCUUACAUUAAAAAAAAUGUAAUAAAUCUGAGGUCGGUCUUAACACGAAAAGAUAAAAAAUGUGCCCCAAGGACUUAAUAAUGACAUUGCUGUCUAAUAAGCUAGUUCACAUGACAUCAAUAUCAAAAGUUAAACAAGGAAAGCUUUGCUAGAAUAACAACAACCAUGAUAAGGAAAGUUAAUGUUACACACUGCUAUUUUAAAUCAAUACAGCUGUGUAAUGGCUCGCGUUUCACUCUCAUUAUAUACAUGUAAACAUGACGUGGAGUCUGUUAUCUUCCAUUUUAUGCGUGUAACUACAGUCAUUGUGCAUUGGGCUCCGAGUGCUUCCGAACGUGGGUGACCUACACUCAACGCUGCACCUGAACGCCUCCGGUGUAGACACACAGACGGAGCACUCACUGCUGCUGCUGCUCUGCUAACACGCCGCUCAGGCUAUACCUCCCAUGAGUCUAUGCCUCCCAUGAGUCUAUGAUAUUUUGUCUCCUCUUUUUGAGAUUUUGGUAGUUUUUCUUUUUUAAACUACAUAUUAGUCUCCUCUUUUUUCAUCAACAAUAUUGCAUUGCACAGUUAUUGUUUAAUGACGUCAGGGCCAUCUCAUCUUAGUCAUGGAAAAAAAACUCAAUUAAAAUUAGUACAUGGUUUAUGUCUAUAGAUUAAGAUUUCUAGGCAAAUCAAAAAACUCUAAAGGGCAUUUCCUUUUUUGUAAGUUCAUUACUUAGUGGAACUAAAUUUGAGUAAAUGUGCCUCAGAUCACAAACCACUGUGAGAAACUUCAUACAUUGGGGCUCUAUGUUCCCCUGACAUAGUAUAUUUCAGGCAAACAGGGGGGGCUUAGGCAUGUAUACAGACUCCCAAACUAAUAAUCUACAUGCUGUUCAUCAUCUACUGCAACUUUAAUUGACUAAAUCACAAAUUCUGAAACUGUAGAUUCAAAUAAAGCAAUCAUCUGUCCCUACAAUUACCUAUAUACAAUUCUGUGACAGUAGUAGAAGCUUGUUAUAAUGAAAUUAUAGAAAGCAGAAAGGGAAUUUGGAGCUUUUUAAAUGGAAGCUGAAAGAGAAUAAAUCUCAUUUUAAGACUUCAAUGUCAAUCUGUGAAAUGAUACUGGACAAUCUAAGACAGAAGGCUGGUUUACAUCGAAGCCAAAAAGGGGAAUUACAUUCAAUUUACCAUUUUAACAUGUUAUCCGUUUGGUUUAGAACAGUCUAAUCAAUAGCCACUUAAAGAAACUCAAAUAACUCCAAUUAACUAGAAAUCAGAUAAAGAGUCCAACAUGUGAUGGUCUGUUGACAGUGGAUGGGAAACUGACUUUGUGGGACCUACAGCGCACAGUGAGACAAAUGAGCUUUACAUUAUUGUGGUUUUUAGUGUUUAAAUUCUGGGCCAGAAAAUUUGCUUUUAUCACCAUAUGAUCCUCUGCAGUGUUCCUGUGGUCAACAUUUGAUUUCCAUUGGAUGUCUCUUGAUGUGACAUCUUUAAUUUAAAAGAUUUUU